GAGUUUGAUCCUGGCUCAGAACGAACGCUGGCGGCGUGCUUAACACAUGCAAGUCGAACGUGAUCCGGAGCUUGCUCCGGUGAAAGUGGCGCACGGGUGAGUAACGCGUGGAUAAUCUGCCCUGGUAUCUGGGAUAACAUCUCGAAAGGGGUGCUAAUACCGGAUAAGCCCACGGGAUCCUCGGAUUCUGCGGGAAAAGGUGGCCCCUAUUUAUAAGCUACCGUAUCAGGAUGAGUCCGCGUACCAUUAGCUAGUUGGUGGGGUAAUGGCCCMCCAAGGCUACGAUGGUUAGCUGGUCUGAGAGGAUGAUCAGCCACACUGGAACUGAGACACGGUCCAGACUCCUACGGGAGGCAGCAGUGGGGAAUUUUGCGCAAUGGGGGAAACCCUGACGCAGCAACGCCGCGUGAGUGAUGAAGGCUUUCGGGUCGUAAAGCUCUGUCAGAGGGGAGGAAAUGGAAUUGGUUAAUACCCGACUUCCUUGACGGUACCCUCAAAGGAAGCACCGGCUAACUCCGUGCCAGCAGCCGCGGUAAUAC
rnacentral:rRNA from 1 species